UCCCAAAGUCAUUAUAAGAUCUAUGUUUGUGAUUGGAUUCUUGGCUGACCCCAAAACCAAAUUCAGAAGACUUAACACUCUGGAGCCACCGUAAGGACCUGCUGCUUGUGUGUAUAUGCUUCUGGCUGGCUCUGGGUAUCUAGGGAACGUGGCUCUACCUGAGACUCUUUUGAGUCGGGAGAUACACUGAGCUUGAGACUGACUCUGCAGUGGCUCUGGGUCCCCUGGCAUGCCUCCACCUAGAAGGCCACUCUGGGUGACUUGUAAGGCACUACCAACGCCAUCUGCUCCAGAGCAGAAAGACUACUUAAUAGCCAAAAGCAGCUGCCAGCUUAGGCUUCAAUGUACUCUCUCAGUUCCCUCCAGGAUGACCUGAUGUGACCACCCUUCUAGGUAAGCAUGAACAGAAGCCCAAGGAUCAGGUGCUGGCUGCAGAACAAAGAUGUUUACUUUCCACCAGGAUCAAAGGUGAACAUAAACCAAAAAUAAGUACAGCACCUUUAUCAUCAGAGUCUUUCAGACAAUAAAGCAGAACAUAUUUUGAGAAUU